UUCUUUGCCCCUACUUCACGAAAACUCCUCUACAUAAUCCCCGCAGCAACCUCUUUCGGUUUUUCGAAAAAUGACAAACUCUAAACCACCCGAGAGCUAAUUCCGAUCUCGCCGGAGUUCAUCGCUGCGAAUUUGAAGACAGGGACGACUGAGUUAGACGCACGACGCUGCCGGAGUUUCGCCGGACUUCGCCAUCUCCAGAUGGGAAUAGCAGUGGAUCAGGACCACUCCAAUGGGCGCCGUUGACGCACGCGAUAACAGGGACGAGAGGAGAACCCCGUCAAGCUUUUCGUCAAGUCGGGGACGCGCACCAGUACACCGUCGCCUUCCACACCCGACCAGCGCGUCCAUCUCCGUCGCCGUCUACCACGAUCAAUUUAUUCGGAGUGCGGAAAAGUUCACGAGGAAGAAAUCAUCAUCAAAUAUUAUUAAGGC